UACGGAGGUCCCAAGCGUUGUUCGGAAUUACUGGGCGUAAAGGGAGCGCAGGCGGACAGGUCAGUCUAAUGUGGAAUCCCGGGGCUCAACCUCGGAACUGCUUCGGAUACUACCUGUCUUGAGUUCGUGAGAGGAAAGCGGAAUUCAGGGUGUAGCGGUGAAAUGCUUAGAUAUCCUGAGGAACACCAAUGGCGAAGGCAGCUUUCUGGCGCGAUACUGACGCUGAGGCUCGAAAGCGUGGGGAGCGAACGGG
rnacentral:rRNA from 1 species